rnacentral:rRNA from 1 species
GAUGAACGCUGGCGGCGUGCCUAAUACAUGCAAGUCGAACGCAUAGCGAAAGGUGCUUGCACCUUUCAAGUGAGUGGCGAACGGGUGAGUAACACGUGGACAACCUGCCUCAAGGCUGGGGAUAACAUUUGGAAACAGAUGCUAAUACCGAAUAAAACUUAGUGUCGCAUGACACAAAGUUAAAAGGCGCUUCGGCGUCACCUAGAGAUGGAUCCGCGGUGCAUUAGUUAGUUGGUGGGGUAAAGGCCUACCAAGACAAUGAUGCAUAGCCGAGUUGAGAGACUGAUCGGCCACAUUGGGACUGAGACACGGCCCAAACUCCUACGGGAGGCUGCAGUAGGGAAUCUUCCACAAUGGGCGAAAGCCUGAUGGAGCAACGCCGCGUGUGAUGAAGGCUUUCGGGUCGUAAAGCACUGUUGUAUGGGAAGAACAGCUAGAAUAGGAAAUGAUUUUAGUUUGACGGUACCACACCAGAAAGGGACGGCUAAAUACGUG